GGUUUUAAUAGCUUUAAUGUUGAAUUAUAGUACGCUGUUCUGAUUCUGAGGUUGCCUGAAAUUUGUUGUUUUGGUUUUAAAAAAAAAAAAUGUAUAGUAAAUUGAAAUAACUCUCACCAUGUCUGUUUUAUUCCGCUUGAAUUAUUAUAAUUGAUUUUGUCUAAAGAUUGGCAAAUUAUGUCCUCCCAUAUAAUUUUUCCAAAGAAAAAAAUACUGGAUUAUGGUAGGCAAAUAAAAGCCAACAACUGAUAUUGGACUUUAUCUUACCUCCUAUACAUUUCUAGGAAUAUGAUUGGUUAAAAGCGUCCUCGUGGAAACCAUGUAUAUUUAAUAUUAGGUUAGUUGGGAGGCGGAGCUUAUUUCAUACACUGCUAGUAGUGGAGUUACGUCCCUUUAUAUUCCAUAUAAGGUAAAAAGGAGACGGGGCUUAUUUCAUACACGGUUAGUAGUGGUGUUACGUCCCUUUAGAAAAACAAAACAGGACUGAGAAAAAAUCUUAAAGGUUUCGACAGACGAAGAAAGUGAAAUAAAUUCAUAAAACACAUUUAAAUAUCUAACAAGUUGUCAUUGUUGGCAUCUGUGUUUGUAGGAUCAAAGGAAGAAGUUUUUUAAUCAUGUUAAUGCUAACUGCAUUGAAGACUUGCUCAUUUUGAUAGGUCACUAGUCUAAAUUUUACACGUUAAGAUAGUCGGUAAGAUAAAUUCGUUACAUAGUGUGCUAGUGACGUAAAUACGGUAUAUAUGAGGUCAGUAAAUUCCAAAUGGGGAUUCGAGCUUUGCUCUCACCCCAUAUGGAAUUUACUGACCCCAUAUAUACCGUAUUAGGUCACUAGCACACUAUGUAACUCAUAAUAUGAUGAUCCUUGAGAACAUGCAAAUCUUCCUCUGAAGUGAAUUGUAUACUUCCUCAGGUUAUUAUUUUUUAUGCAUACGGGCCCUGUAUUCAAUAAAAGUAUUAUUCAUUUCAAAAUCUUUAUCAAAUUUUAUAUCAUGAAUCCCUUUCAAUAGUAAGUUUUUAAAAACUGUUGUCAAUGAUCAAAGUCAACUGUAUAUGUAAGAAUUGUAACCAAGAACAACAUUUUAACCAUAAGUCUUUUAUCUGAUUAUAGGUGCUAAUAGUGUAUUUGUUAUCUUAUGCAAUAUAGCUAAGAUCAUAAAAUACUCAAUCCACAAAAAAAAACAAAACAAACCCAACACACACAAAGACUGGUUAGAUUUGUCAGUUGUUUGCUGUUGUGACAAUAUCCUAUCUUGAACAUUUAAUCAUAGAUAAAUUAUCUUUUUUUUCAAAGUUUAACUUUUAUUUGGAGUCCUUGUAGAUGUCAUUAACAAACCAAGCUUAAACUUUUGAUCAUAAAGGGUAAUAAAUAUGAAGUUAUGCACCUUAUUUAAAAAACAAGUUGGAUGAUAUUGAUACUUAUAUAUA
rnacentral:lncRNA from 1 species